CUCAAUCGGGAAACUGCCUUUCAAACUAUCUGGCUUGAGAUUGGAAGAGGGAAAUGGAAUUAGCAGUGUAAGGGUGAAAUCUGUAGAUAUUGCUAAGAACACCAGCGGCGAAGGCGAUUUCCUGGUCCAAAUCUGACGCUGAAUUGCGAAAGCUAGGGGAGCGAACAGAAUUAGAUACUCUGGUAGUCCUAGCUGUAAACGAUGAGUACUAGGUGUUGGGCUUUUGCUCAGUGCCGCAGCUAACGCAUUAAGUACUCCACCUGGGGACUACGGCCGCAAGGCUAAAACUCAAAGGAAUUGACGGGGACCCGCACAAGCGGUGGAACAUGUGGUUUAAUUCGAUGCUACGCGAAGAACCUCACCUGGGCUUGACUUGCUCGUCGUAUCUCUCUGAAAGGAGAGAGUCAGCUCGGCUGGACG
rnacentral:rRNA from 1 species